UAGGGAAUCUUCGGCAAUGGACGAAAGUCUGACCGAGCAACGCCGCGUGAGUGAAGAAGGUUUUCGGAUCGUAAAACUCUGUUGGUAGAGAAGAACGUUGGUGAGAGUGGAAAGCUCAUCAAGUGACGGUAACUACCCAGAAAGGGACGGCUAACUACGGCCAG
rnacentral:rRNA from 1 species